GGGCCCAUAGCUCAGUUGGUUAGAGCACUCGGCUCAUAACCGAAAGGUCCCAGGUUCGAAUCCUGGUGGGCCCACCA
rnacentral:tRNA from 1 species